rnacentral:lncRNA from 1 species
AUGGCGGCCGGGGGGCGGGAUCGGGGAGGAGGAGGAGGAGGGGGAAGGGGAAGGCCGGGCGCCCUCCCCGCGCUCGGCGCCGCGCACACAAAAGGCUGCAGGGAAAACACGGAGGGCAGCGGGGGUGCGGAGUGGCCUCGCCGGGGACCUGCUGCCCGCCCUGCCCUCGCUGUGUGUGACCCGCUACCAGCACGGGCUCGGCGGGUCCCUGUGUCCAGGAUCGCAUCCCCGUGUGCCGCACCGCAUCCCAGUGCCCAGGAUCCAUACCCGUGUCCCGCACCGCAUCUCCGUGUCCAGGAUCACACCCCCGUGUUCUCCACCGCAUCCCCGUGCCCAGGAUCGCAUCCCCGUGCUCAGGAUCGCAUCCCCCUGUUCCGCACUGCAUCCCCCUGUUCCACACCGCAUCCCCGUGUUCCCCACCGCAUCCCCGUGUUCCUCACCGCAUCCCCGUGUCCCGCACCGCAUCUCCGUGUCCAGGAUCACAUCCCCGUGUUCGCCACCGCAUCCCCCCGUGUUCCCCACCGCAUCCCCGUGUUCCUCACCGCAUCCCCGUGUCCCGCACCGCAUCUCCGUGUCCAGGAUCACACCCCCGUGUUCUCCACCGCAUCCCCGUGCGUUCCCCACCGCAUCCCCGUGUUCCUCACCGCAUCCCCGUGUCCCGCACCGCAUCUCCGUGUCCAGGAUCACAUCCCCGUGUUCGCCACCGCAUCCCCCCGUGUUCCCCACCGCAUCCCCGUGUUCCUCACCGCAUCCCCGUCGGCGGGUCCCUGUGUCCAGGAUCGCAUCCCCGUGUGCCGCACGCAUCCCCGUGUUCCUCACCGCAUCCCCGUGUCCCGCACCGCAUCUCCGUGUCCAGGAUCACAUCCCCGUGUUCGCCACCGCAUCCCCCCGUGUUCCCCACCGCAUCCCCGUGUUCCCCACCGCAUCCCCGUGCCCAGGAUCGCAUCCCCGUGCUCAGGAUCGCACCCCCCUGUUCCGCACUGCAUCUCCGUGCCCGGGAUCGCAUCCCCGUGCUCGCGGGCCCGUCCCAGUUUGGGGGGGAGUCGGGGGUGCGCGCCCAGUGCCGGCACGUGGAGACGCCUCAGUUCUGCUCAGCACAGCCCAGCCCAGCCCAGCCCAGCUCACGGCAGAGCCGGGCUCAGCCGCCCACAGGGUGCCGCCGGUACCGGCACUCCCGGCCGUUCGUGUCCAGGGAUCUUCCGGGCAGAGCCGUGCUGCGGUGAGUCCGGGCACAGGGCGGGUUUGUGCCGGGCUCUUUGUGUGAAGGGGUGA